rnacentral:rRNA from 1 species
UACGGGGGGAGCAAGCGUUGUUCGGAUUUACUGGGCGUAAAGGGCGCGUAGGCGGCACCGCAAGUCGACUGUGAAAUCUCCGGGCUUAACCCGGAAAGGUCAGCCGAUACUGCGGGGCUAGAGUGCAGAAGGGGCAACUGGAAUUCUCGGUGUAGCGGUGAAAUGCGUAGAUAUCGAGAGGAACACCUGCGGCGAAGGCGGGUUGCUGGGCUGAUACUGACGCUGAGGCGCGAAAGCCAGGGGAGCGAACGGG